CCAAACUCACUUUGUACUCUGUUUUUAUUCUGGCAUUGACUACACCCUGAGUCUUGUGAGGUGCUCAUGCAGAUCGGUGAGUUAUGCUGCAAAAUUCUUUUACUACCAUUUUUACCUUUUUGUAUACUUAAUUAGCAUACAAUGAACAAAAUUCACACAUCUUUUUACUUUACGUGUAUCCUUUAUUUCAGAGAUUCUGAAGAUUGUGUUUUAUGAACACCCAUUGUUGCAAAAUCCCAUAUAAUUAAAUUGAUUUUUAAUGACAACCCACAAAAAAUCAGAUUUUGGCCACCCCUAAAAAUCUUUUUUUGGUGAUUGUGUGAUGGAUACCUGUGCUGUUGGUUCUAGUUUCCAUGUGGUUUGGCAUUUCCGUGUUCAAGUAAUUCAUUGUAGCAUUUAAUGCUGGUCAUUCAGGCCUGAAGGGGGAGUUUAUUUUAUUCUUUAAUGUGUUGCUCUUGUUAUGUUGAGGUAGCUAAGGUGAGGAAUGUGUUCAUGGGGUUUUAGCAGGCUGGGAUUAGACAAUGGCGUGAAACAAAAUGGUCUACGAAUGCAUCGGGAAUUCGAUGAUUCAGGGCAAAAUCUAGCAGUGCUAGAUUAAGGUCAGGGACAUUUUAGAAGAAACUGUAGAACUCAGCAGCUAUAGCCUAGUUAAUUUUGAUAACAAAGCUUUGAUAUUUUUCAGAUGAAUGAGCCACACCAUAGCAGGUAUGAUCCUCUAUUAGUUUAUAUUUUUCUGAUAGAUAGUGUUUCUUGAGUUGGUUGCUGGCUGCUUUAGUAUUUCAUAGCAUGGUUUGUUUGAUCACAUAUAAUGUAGAACCCGAUUUUGAGUACUGCUACACAUCAGAAAAAUGCACAAUCCCAUCUCACAUUUUCCCUAUUUGUAAUUUUCUUCCCAUUUCUGCCUAUCAUUCUUGGCCUUCCUCAAUCCAUAUUCUCACAUACAGACAUUAAUGUUUGUCUUGGUUAUGAUUGUCAUUCUAUUGGAGUAUUUUAAUUCAUGAUUAGACCGCUCAUUGUUAAGCUUACAUUCAACUUCUAAUAUAUCUUCUAACGCCAAUCUGAUAUAGCUUCAAGCAGUGAUGAGUUUGAUAUUGUCUGGGUAGAGAUUUUAUCAUAUGCUAAUUGCUAUUUAAUACCCUAAUAGUUGGACUGAUAAAUUACAAUGUCACUUAAGUUGUGGAACAAGACCAUGUGGUAUUGCACAUAGCUCAGAAUGUUAUGAAUGCACUUGUUAACAAGCUGCAUAGCUCUGUCAUUAGAAACUGAAGCUCAAACAAUUAGAAACUGAAGCUCAAACAGUUUCUUCUAAGUUAUUUCAAUAUAGGGCAUACACGACAACACAAAAAUUUGUUUAGGAGAUCAUCAUAGGAUAGCCAGAUUUAAUUAUGUUUUGAAAUGAGGGUUCAAAGUCUUUCUUCCGCCUAAAUGUGUUAAUUUGUUGUAAAGCACUAUUGAUAAAAUGAAAUUUAUGAUUGUUUCUUGCUUAAUUGUUAGUCAAAUACUAAACUUGGCCAUUCCAUUUUGUUUGUCUACUGCAAUCUCCUUACAUAAGUUCACACUAACAAUGUAAAUAUAGUCAGUCAUUUUAUGGCCUGGGCUUGUAUUGUACACCAGUAAAUGACCUAGAACAAUAGAAUAAAUAGGUCUCUUAAGGUGAUGUUUUAUAACACCUAUCAUGUUAAUACAUUCUCCAUUUUCUCCAUUAUAGAUUCAACAUAUACCAAGUGUAAGUGAAAGGAAGCUAAUAAAAGUAAUAUCUUUUCUGGCUAGCAGGAUUUCAAUAAUGAACUUCGGUAAACAACUAUUGGGUCAAGAUGAGAAGCAAUCUCAAAUGAACAAUACAUGGGUACCCAUCACCCCUAAGAAGCUCAUUCUAUAUGGACCUAAUCCAGAAUCAAACUUGCCAGUGAACCACAUAAGAA
rnacentral:lncRNA from 1 species